rnacentral:rRNA from 1 species
AGAGUUUGAUCAUGGCUCAGGAUGAACGCUGGCGGCGUGCUUAACACAUGCAAGUCGAACGAAGCACUUUAUCACGAUUUCUUCGGAAUGACGAUUUGGUGACUGAGUGGCGGACGGGUGAGUAACGCGUGGGUAACCUGCCUUAUACAGGGGGAUAACAGUUGGAAACGGCUGCUAAUACCGCAUAAGCGCACAGGGUCGCAUGACCUGGUGUGAAAAACUCCGGUGGUAUGAGAUGGACCCGCGUUGGAUUAGCUGGUUGGUGAGGUAACGGCCCACCAAGGCGACGAUCCAUAGCCGACCUGAGAGGGUGACCGGCCACAUUGGGACUGAGACACGGCCCAAACUCCUACGGGAGGCAGCAGUGGGGAAUAUUGCACAAUGGGCGAAAGCCUGAUGCAGCGACGCCGCGUGAGCGAAGAAGUAUUUCGGUAUGUAAAGCUCUAUCAGCAGGGAAGAUAAUGACGGUACCUGACUAAGAAGCACCGGCUAAAUACGUGCCAGCAGCCGCGGUAAUACGUAUGGUGCAAGCGUUAUCCGGAUUUACUGGGUGUAAAGGGAGCGCAGGCGGUACGGCAAGUCUGAUGUGAAAGCCCGGGGCUCAACCCCGGUACUGCAUUGGAAACUGUCGAACUAGAGUGUCGGAGGGGUAAGUGGAAUUCCUAGUGUAGCGGUGAAAUGCGUAGAUAUUAGGAGGAACACCAGUGGCGAAGGCGGCUUACUGGACGAUAACUGACGCUGAGGCUCGAAAGCGUGGGGAGCAAACAGGAUUAGAUACCCUGGUAGUCCACGCCGUAAACGAUGAAUA